GCGGGGAUCGCCAAGCCAGGUCAAAGGCGCAGGAUUCAGGGUCCUGUCUCGCAGGAGUUCGAGGGUUCGAAUCCCUCUCCCCGCA
rfam:Candidatus Syntrophoarchaeum caldarius isolate BOX2 BOX2_8_reassembly_contig02, whole genome shotgun sequence.